rnacentral:rRNA from 1 species
GACGAACACUGGCGGCGUGCUUAACACAUGCAAGUCGAACGGAAAGGCCCUGCUUUUGUGGGGUGCUCGAGUGGCGAACGGGUGAGUAACACGUGAGUAACCUGCCCUUGACUUUGGGAUAACUUCAGGAAACUGGGGCUAAUACCGGAUAGGAGCUCCUGCUGCAUGGUGGGGGUUGGAAAGUUUCGGCGGUUGGGGAUGGACUCGCGGCUUAUCAGCUUGUUGGUGGGGUAGUGGCUUACCAAGGCUUUGACGGGUAGCCGGCCUGAGAGGGUGACCGGCCACAUUGGGACUGAGACACGGCCCAGACUCCUACGGGAGGCAGCAGUGGGGAAUAUUGCACAAUGGGCGGAAGCCUGAUGCAGCAACGCCGCGUGCGGGAUGACGGCCUUCGGGUUGUAAACCGCUUUCGCCUGUGACGAAGCGUGAGUGACGGUAAUGGGUAAAGAAGCACCGGCUAACUACGUG